CCUGGAUAACCAUGAUCUGCCAGCUUCUUCAGCACCAAAGCCUCUUCCCAUGGUUUUUCCCUCUGUGACCAUUACCGCAAUCCUCCUAGGAAGUAAGGCCAACCACUACGGAGGCCGCUUUGCUGUCACCUCCACCACCUCCACCAACCAAAUCUGCUCUGUGUUUUCUUUUUCUUCAUCCCACUCAAGACUCACUGGCCCACACAAGAGAGCCUCAAAUUGACUCCUGCAAAGGCCUUCUGGGGGCUCUCUCCCGUCUUUGUACUUGCUCUCCCAAACCUAUCUAUACUGAAGGCAAACUCAUUCUUGUAAAAUGCAAGCUUUCAAAGCUUUUUCAAUUCUCAGAUAGCCUCCCUCACUCUCAUUUUACUAUUUUUGACAAUGGGAGACAUCUCAAAAUGGAUGGAGAUGCUUACUGCAGGCUUCCCAGAUGCGUAUCCCAGAUCUUCGCUUCCUAAGGCCCAGAAAGUCAAGAUGAAAUGUGCAGAGUUACUCAGAAGGUCCCCGGGCAUAUGGAAGUUCCCAGACUAGGGGUCAAAUCAGAGCUACAGCUGCAGGCUUAUGCCACAGCCACACCAGAUCCGAGCCAUAUCUGUGACCUGCACUACAGCUUGAGGCAAUGCCAGCUCCUUAAUACACUGAGCAAGGUCAGGGAUUGAACCCACAUCCUCACGGGUACUAGUCGGUUUGUUAACCUGCUGAACCACAAUGGAAACUCCAGAAGGUCUUUCUUAAUGCUGGCACUGCCUGGCCUUCUGGGUGCACCUCGUGCAGCCCGACUUUCAUUCUACCAUCAAGAGAUGAUUAAUAAUAUACAAUACUAUAUUUUCACCCACCCUGAAGCCUUUGCAUAGACCACUGAACUCUCUGCCCCAUUUCUCCUCAGAGGUCUUACCUGUCCCACAUAACUCAGGCAUAAAUAGAUGCCACUUCCUCUAAGAGCCUUUCUCUCAUCUCUCAUCUGCCCCUAUAGGUGGUUCCAUUUGCCUUCCAUGCUUGAUCUAAUUCAGCAAUGAUUCCAUUUUAUCAUAGUGCUUUGUCUAUCAACAGUUUCUCCUUGGAGUUCCCGUGGUGGCUUACUGGAAAGGAAUCUGACUAGCAUCCAUGAGGACGCAUGUUUAAUCCCUGGCCUCGCUCAGUGGGUUAAGGAUCCGGCAUUGCCAUGAACUGUGGUACAGGUCACAGGCACGGCUUGGAUUCUGCGUUGCUGUGGCUGUGGUGUAGGCCUGCACCUGCAGCUCCAAUGACCCCUAGCCUGGGAACCUCCAUACACCACGGGUACGGUCCUAAAAAGACAAAAAAUAAAAAUAAAGAGAUACUUUUAUCCUGGUAACCUGGAUGCCCAUUCUAUUGAUCUAUCUUUUAAAAAUUAUUUUUAUUGAAGCAAUAAUUGACAUAGUAUGAUGACGAUGAUGAUGACGACACAACAUAUUAUUAUUAUUAUUAGUUUCAGGUGUAUAACUAAUCUCUCUCCUGGAAAGAAUAAAGCUGAUGAAUUGUACAAACAAGAUCAACGACAACACUUCUUUGAUUCCUUCAUCAAAACCACCCUUCUCCUUCUUACUUCCUCUCCUCACUAAAAUCAUUUAGCAAGGUGAGGCCAAGCAGAUUGCAUCUGCUUGGUAUUUGUGCACAACUCCAAAGAUAAAAAAGUGUUAUCAUGGCUGAUAAUUAUGUGAAUGACUGAGACAUAAUCUGAAUAAAAAACCUUAGGUUCCCUUGAAGUAAAAUCACUUUACUGUCCCUAAUAUACUGCAAAGCAAAUAGAAUGAGCAAGGAAGCUAUAAGGACUUAAUCAAAUAGACUUCUUAUAAAUAAGAAUUGAGAUUCACUAUCCACCAAAAAUGCAAUUACCCUCCCCCUACUAACAGCGCCCUAAUUUAGACUGUGCACCAAAAAAAAAUAAAAUAAAAUAAAAAGGAAGAAAAGAAAAGCUUUCAGGUUAUAAGACAAUUUUACAUUAAGGUCUAAGAUUAAUCUUAAUGCCAUUCUCUCUCCUGAAUCUGUGGUCUGCAGAACUUCAGCUUUAAUAAUACCAUCAUGCAUCCCACCAUCACCAAAUGCAACUUUGCAGUCACUCUUCCCAACAGUGUAAAAGAGCAAGCCAUGAUGGGUCAAACUCAUUAACGCCAAUCUUUGGCAGAUUUGGUAAUGGUGUAAAAACCAGAAACCUGGUACGAGCCAACCACAGUCUCAGAUUCAAGAAACGGCAUGACUUAAGUAACGAAAGAAUAAAAGCCCAUCUCCACUCAUGUGAAAAUGACCAGGCGGGCUAUUAACAACUACCAAGGCCACAAAACAUUCUCUCUGGGAUUCAUAUUUUCAGAGACCUAGAACUAAAACUACCAGGAAAACAGUGUGUUGGACAGGGAAGGAAGAUUGAAAUGAAGGUGGUCAAAAGGUACAAACUUCCAGUUUUAAGAGAAAUAGCUACCAGGGAUGCAAUAUACACCGUGAUGAAUUAACAACUGUGAUAUAUUCUACAUGACAGUUGAUAGGAGAGAGAGUAAAUAAAUCCUAUGAGUUCUCAUCACAAAAUUUUUUUUAUUCCUUUAAUUUUUAUCUAUAUGAGACGAUGGAUGUUCACUAAUUGUGUCAUUAUUUCAUGAUAUAUUACAUCGAAGCACCUUAAACUUAUACAGUGCUGUAUGUCAAUUGUAUCUCAGUAAAAGUGGAAGAGAAAAUAUGAAAAAUUAGAGGAAGAGAGACAUAAAAAAAAGAAAAAAUGUGUUUAUGAUGUAAAGGUAACUAGCAGAGAUAAUUAGAUCUUAUUUUUCAUAUUUAUGACUUGGCUGAGUUUUAACUUUUCUGAUCCUCAAUUUCUUCAUCUGUCAAAUGGAUUCAUGAGACCCUGGUGAGAGGUAAAUGUGAUUGAAUGUAUUAUGCUCAUAGGUAGGGCUUUAGUUUGUGUUGAGGAGUAUGAACUAGAGAAGAGAGUAAUUGUUUUCUUCUUUUUCAGUUGCACACACAGCAUAUGGAAGUUCUUGAGCCAGGGAUCGAAUCCAGGCCGAAGCUGUGACCUAUGCUGCUGCUGCAGCAACAGUAUAUCCUUAACCCACUGCAACACAGUGGGAACUCCACAAGCGAUUUGUGAUACAACCACUUUGUCAUGCAUCCAGUCAUUUAGCAAAUGCUAGUGAACACUACUCCAUGCCAGGCUGAAAGCAGAGAAAAACAAAAUGAGGUCCCUACCCUCGAGGAGCUCACAGUCAAGAUCUGUGCUGUCCAAAACAGUCUUCAGCAGUCAGAUGUGAAAAUUUUUAAUGAAAGUUAAAUGUAAACCAAAAAUCCAGUUCAUCAGUUGCACAAGUCACAUUUCCAGUGCUCAAUAGCUAUGUGUAGGUGCCAGUCAUGUGUUGGCUACCAUACUGGAUAACACAGAAGAUUUUCACCAUCACGCAAAGUUUUAUUGAAUAGCUGUGGUCUACAGGAGCAAGACUAAGAAGUACACAGGUAAAUUUUACCAUACUCCAAUAGGCAGUAAUCUGAUAACAGUAAGGGAUUUUAUAAUGGAAGUGAUUUUCUUGAAAGACAAGUAGGUUUUGUUUUUUUAGGAGCAGAAUGGGGAGCCAGGUGGAACCACAAGUACAAAGGCACUUCAGGAGGUACUGAGGUUCUAAGUGGAUUAGGAUGCAACUUGGGAAGAGAUCACAGCCCAAGUAAGAAUCAGGGUCUAACUCACAAAGAGUGACCUAUUGGAUGUGUAUUACAGAAAGCUAACCAUGCAGUGGUUGUCAACUCUGGAGAUGCACAUGACAACUCUUCUGCAAAGCUUUUGAAAAUGCUGGUGACAGAGCUCUAACCCCCACUGAAUUAAAACCAGUUCUGGGCAUGGGACCUAGACUUCAUUAAGCCUUAAAAUCCCCAAGUGAUUUACAUGCAGCCAGGGUUAAAAAUCAGUGGAGAUGACCAAGAACUGACACUGUGGUUAAGCUGAACGAAGAAGUACGAGGAAGAGUCUACUGCAAUAGUCCUAUCAACAGAUGGCAGGGAACCUCACUUCACACAGGAAUAGGAAGAAGAAACACAGAUAUUAGUAUAAUUUUCAAAGACAGAAUUAAUACGAUCUGGAAACCAAGAAUAUGAACAAUCAGAGAAGAAAAAAAUAUAACAGCUUCUAGCCCUUGGCAAUAAUGACCAAGAUUAAGCAUAUAGAAAAUUGAGCAGGUUUAAGAGGCAAAGAGUAAAAAUUAGCUUAGUUUUUUAGAGCCACUGCCUGCUAAGUUCUGCAGAGCAUCUGGUAGAAAAGUCUAGGAGGUCAGAGGAACUAACUGCCCAGAUUCUACAAGAGGAGGAGGCCAGAGAGUGGGGUACAGAGGACUCGUGAAGAGUGCUUGCAGGAUCCAUACAGAGUGAAUUAAUUUCCUGUAAACUUCAACAGGAGAGAAGACACACUCUUUGCAAGUCCUGCUCUAUCUCCAACUAUUCCCCACUGUGCAUCAAGGUCCCCAUCUUCCUGGCAUCACCAACAACCCACGAGCAUCCUUUCCAACACCACUUACUGGUUGUAUGACCUUGAACAAAUCACUGUACUUUCUGGGUCUGCGCUUCAGGUUCCUAACACUCAAAGGAAAGGAUGAACUAGAACCAGUUGCUACCAAGGGGCCCUUCCAAUUUGAAGACUCUACAGACAUAUAUAUUACCUUCUGAAGAGCCGAAGUUACAGAUACAAUUUAUAAUCAUUUCUAACAUUUAUAUAUGCAUCAAUUUGUAUAACAUAUUCACUUGUAUUCCUGAAAUGUUAUCUAGCCCUGAGAUAUAAUAAUUAAUAUAAUUUCAUAAAUUAUAUAAAUUCCAAAAAAUUACACAAAUGUAUAUUCUUUGUCUUAAACUUGUUCAUCAAAAAGACACAGUCAACAUUUUGUUUAGUAUUGAAUACCAAAUUUUUGUGCUUUUUCCUUUGCCAUGCUAAAGUAAGGGGUUGCAAACUCUAGCACCUACAGGGCCAGAGUAUCAUAUUAAUGAGUGAAGCAGUCCCGAGGACAAUGAUGAACUCUAGUUCCCCACCCCAGCUAAAGGGGGCAGGGAUUACGCAGCACCACGCCACAGCUGCCAUUUGGGGCCAUGGACCCAGUGUUGUUUCAGAAACCCUCAUUGUUUCAGGUAUAAUCUCUUGAUAUUUAAACCCUGGCAACCAACACAAAUCAUUUUAAAAUGCUGUGCAGGAGUUCUCAUUGGGGCUCAGUGGAAACGAAUCCAACUAAUAUCCAUGAGGACACCGGUUUGAACCCUGGCCUUGCUCAGUGGGUGGGGAUCCGAUGUUGCUGUGAGCUGUGGUGUAGGUCAAAGACGCUGCUUGCAUCUGGCAUUGCUGAGGCUAUAGUGUAGGCCAGCAGCUGUAGCUCCAAUUCAACCCAGAGCCUAGGAACUUCCAUAUGCCACGGGUGUGGCCCUAACCCCCCCCCCCAAAAAAAAGUUUUUUAGACCAAACUUGGCCCAAGGCUGUCAGAUUGUACCUGGUCCCAAAGUACACCAUCCUGCGCAACUUUUAAACCUGAAAAACAGAAAACAUGCACAAAACAAGAAAGAAGGCCUCUUAAGUCCCUAUGAUAGUUCGGAGCAUUGGGAUGAGUUUAAGCAAGUCAGAGCAAUAACACUAGCCUAGGACUUGCAGCCACCUUUAUCCUGAGUGCCUAUAAUGAAAUCUACAAAAUGCAUUCAUUGUUAUGAAACAUCUGUGUGGAGUAUGAAUGGAGAAGAGCACACCUGAUAAACGAAUUCUUCAUGUACCAAAUAUCAGGUGGACUUUUAACACAGCGAGGUAAACAUGUGAUAAUUCAUAGUCUGCUGAUAGCAGCCAAUAUCCCCCAGGGCAUUCAAAAGAGAAAAAUACUUUAUUUAGCAGCAAUUUCACUCUAUUUCUUGCUUUCAGACAGGGGGAAAAAAACUCUUCUCUUUUCAUUAUACUCUUGAUUUUAUUUUUGUGUGUGAAGUACUAAGCAAUCUGGCACACAUUAGCAGGAAGAGGCCAACCGUACAUGGAAUAUACUAUUACCCUCAUUCUCAAAGCAUGAUGAAAUGCGAUCUUCCGCUACCAGAUCACCUUAAAACCACUGCAACACUGUGACUCUGCCAAUAGGAAGAAGUUUGUAUUGAGGAAGGUUGCCCUGUGCUACCCAGUGGACUCAAUGGGGGAGAAAUCCAUGAGAGAGGGCAAAAAAAAAAAAAAAAAAAAAAAAAAAAA
rnacentral:lncRNA from 1 species